UUAACUAGCUGGAACGAGGAUGAGCGCUGAGAGAACCUGAGAUGUGCGGCAACCUGGCUUGGAUCGAGCUCCAGCUUUCCCUCCUCUGGGCUCGCAGGCUCUCGCAGAACAAAUCUCUCCCAGAGCUGUGUCACCUCUGUGAGCAGAGCCUGGAGCGGUCUGGCCUGCUCACGGCUGAUCCGAGUGCCCCUCCAUCUGCUCUUCCUCCAGAAAUAAGGCAAGGGUUUUCUCAGAAAUCUGUCGCUGGAAAUCUGGUAGCAGGCUUGCUUAAUGCAGCAAGGGAUUUAAUUAGGUUUUCCCAGAGAGAGGAGAGGAAGGGAAACGGCGAGCAGCUGCUGGCAUCUCCGUCUGCAGCCUCCCUCGCUGCCCCUCCCUCCUCAUCGCUGGGGACGGAAAAGCUGUGCUUGUGGCUUGGUGCAUCUGCAGAACGCGGUGCCAACAAAUGCGACCUGUCUCUCCUGCUUCGUUGCCUCUCUCCUCUCCUCCUCUCGGAACGGAGCGGUCCUGCUCCGGCGGGGCAGCUCUCUUGUGUCCAAGCGAAAUGGCCGAGCCCAGAUUAUGGUAACGCGAGCGGGUUCGAACCACCCGCUUCCGUGGAGCACAAACGGGCUCCUCAGCUGGAAGAUGAGCGCGGUGCACGACGUGCGGACCGAGGCGCGGGAGCGGCCCAGCCGGCGGACGGUGGACCAGCUGAGCCCGGAGCUCCGCGUGGAGAAGUACAUCCUGCUGAGCAUGGACGGGAAGCUGCUGGGCCCGGAGCUGAGCCGGAUCCGGAGCGAGAUGGCCCUGCCCCUGGAGCGCCUGGAUGCUGACCUGCCCCAGGACCUGCCCCCCGGCUACCUCUGGCGCCAGCGCCGCUCCCUGCCGACCUUCCCCCUCGCCCCCGGGAGCGGCGCCCAGACCCCCGCGGACCUCAGGUACGUGCUGCCCCGUGCCGGGGCCGCAGCCUGCGCCCGCCGCCCGCUCGGGGCGCUGACCCGUCCCCCUCUUCCAGGAGGAGCUCGGACUUGCUCUGCGCCGGCCAGUUCCCCACGGGGCUCAGCGACCUGGUGACGGGGAUGCAGGCCCCUGCCUCGCCGUGUGCCAGGAGCCGUGGCAGCCYGCGGGCUCGGCCCCGCUCCGCCCUGGCAGCCCAGGCUUCGGAGGCCGYGGGCCAGGGCUGCCGGGAGCGGACGGCCCCGGGGCGGGAAGGUGGCCAGGAGUGAGGGGAGCCGGGACCCCAGCCAGCUCCCCCCGCCCGGAGUAGGGGCGGCGCUGGCAGCACAGCGGGGCUGUAACGGGAGGAUGGUGCGAAAUAAAGACCCUGGAUGUAACCCCA
rnacentral:lncRNA from 1 species